rnacentral:rRNA from 1 species
AAAGCGCACGCAGGCGGUCUGUCAAGUCGGAUGUGAAAUCCCCGGGCUCAACCUGGGAACUGCAUUCGAAACUGGCAGGCUAGAGUCUUGUAGAGGGGGGUAGAAUUCCAGGUGUAGCGGUGAAAUGCGUAGAGAUCUGGAGGAAUACCGGUGGCGAAGGCGGCCCCCUGGACGAAGACUGACGCUCAGGUGCGAAAGCGUGGGGAGCAAACAGGAUUAGAUACCCUGGUAGUCCACGCCGUAAACGAUGUCGACUUGGAGGUUGUGCCCUUGAGGCGUGGCUUCCGGAGCUAACGCGUUAAGUCGACCGCCUGGGGAGUACGGCCGCAAGGUUAAAACUCAAAUGAAUUGACGGGGGCCCGCACAAGCGGUGGAGCAUGUGGUUUAAUUCGAUGCAACGCGAAGAACCU